rnacentral:rRNA from 1 species
UACAGAGGGUGCAAACGUUGUUCGGAAUUACUGGGCGUAAAGCGAGUGUAGGCGGUUUGGUAAGUCGGAUGUGAAAGCCCUGGGCUCAACCCAGGAAGUGCAUUCGAUACUGUCAAGCUAGAGUAUCGGAGAGGUUGGUGGAAUUCUCGGUGUAGAGGUGAAAUUCGUAGAUAUCGAGAGGAACACCGGUGGCGAAGGCGGCCAACUGGACGAAUACUGACGCUGAGACUCGAAAGCGUGGGGAGCAAACAGG